rnacentral:lncRNA from 1 species
AGAAUUCUAUUUAAGGUAUGUGGUUUUAAUUUUUAAAUGUGGCUUUACUUAUGUUUUAUUUGAUUAUAUGUGUUCUCGUUAAGGAUGGUUCAAUAUCAUUGUUAGUUUUGAUUAAUUAGACAAUCAAAUUUUGGGAUUUGAAUAGGUUGAAAUCUUUGGACAUAACAUGCAAACAUGUGGUGUAGUUGGGUUCAAUAACUGAAUUGGAGAAAUUGUGGCAGUGCAAUGGUCAUCUAGGAUUAGGGAAUAUUUUCCCCAUGGACUAUCAAAAGAGCUUGACCGUCAAGUUCUACUGGCUUCAUCAGAGGGGAGUAAUGAACAAAUAGAGCAAUUCUUAGAAUUGUCGGCAUGAAUCAGAGUUUAUGAAGUUAAAGAACUGUUAGAACAAAGUAUAAAGCAGGGCUUAGGACUACCAUUCAGGAGUCAGGAUUCAGGAGUCAGGAUUCAGGAUGAUAUGUCUAUUUUCAGUCUAUGGAAGAUACAGGUGGCACGCUAGGUGGUCUUUAGAGAUUGAGAAGAAGCUAAGGAAAGAAAUCUGACAUGCUGAUCUCCUCUAUGGUUGUUUCUAGCACCAGUUAGGACAGCCAACUAAAUCUUUAAAAGACAGGUCUAGAUGAACACGUUUACAUGUUUCAAAUGUGGAGAGGUAGGAAAUACUGGUACUGGUUAUCCUAUUUGCUGUUAGGGGAAUGUGAAAAGAAUGGAAGUUAGAGAGAAGAAAAUAUCAGUGAGCUUGAAGAAUGAAAUGUCAUCAGUACACUGCAAUCUCUAAUUGUGGCCAGCAGAUGGACCCAAACCCCUCCACCCAGCUCCCAGAGAGAGAGAGAGAGAGAGAGGA